ensembl:lncRNA
CAUGCUAGAAAAGAAAGGCUAGCCUCCUUGUUGGAACUUUAUGAAAGCAAGAGCUAUAAAUCACCUACAAAUAGAGAGCCUGCUUUCAGAUGUCACAUCAAGACAUUACGUCUAAAUUUUCAUUGCUAUUGAAGGAUUUAGCCAGACGACUUUUAUUCCCUUUAAUGAAUGCGAUUGCCCCUUCACUGCUGUGGAACAUUCAGGGUUCAACAAAUGUGACAUGCUGCAUUGAUUAUGCAAAAACUCAGUCAGUCCAUGCCUUUUUUUUUCUACAGACUUUAUGACGUUAUUUUGUCUAGACGCUGGUGUCCUUGUUGCCCUAGUUUUAGCAUUUAUGGCCAAAUCACUUUAAUCAGUUAUCUCCUUCAUUCAAAACUCUGUGUCCAAAAGAGUUUGACAGGAAGCAGGCUGCCCAUCUUUUCUCUUUUAGAGAGGUGAAGAUGCAGCCAUGGUGUGAAGAAAGGAAACAGUGUCUCUUCAACUGCACAUCCUGUAUCUUGAUUAAAAUACAAAUGGGGGUCCCUAUAACCUCUCCAACCACCACCUCGGAGCCCGGUCAUGAAAACUUCGCCAACUGCAUUACACAGAGCAUUUCUACUUAGCCCCACAUAUUGUGAAGCUAAACCUAAGCUUCCACUCCCACUUGUGUUCUCUAUGUUCUAGACAAAAGUAAGACAGCUAAAUACAUUUUGGAGUUCCAAUUUAGGAAAAGUUUGGGGAUAUCAAUUAUUAGCCUUAGCACUAGAAAUGGUCUUCCUUUUUAAAAAAAUUAGGUUCUGUGUAUGACUUCAAAUAAAUUUUCUAAUGGGAAAAAGUUUAUUUUAUGAUUAACCCCUUUUUGAAAUGAAAAAUGGUGAUUGCUAAUAAUAUGAGAUCCUUUAUAUUUUUGUGAGUAGAGUGGCUACAACUGGGGAAAACAUGAUGAUUCUAAUUCUGGCUAUAGUUUAACUGGAAGUCAUCACCCAAGAUGUCGAACUUGGCGCCUUUUAUGUGUAACAGUUACUAAAAUAGUGUCCAUUAUUUUAGCCACAUAACAUAUAUAUAAUAGGCUAUAUAUGUUAUGGUGGCAAAAUAUAUAUAUAUUAUUUUGUUAUAUUCAUAACCACAUUUCUCAUUCACUAAGCAUUCGGCAGCCUAGGUGACUUUUUUCCUCUUUGCAAAUGAACUGCUUGGGUUAGAUGGUCUCUGAAGUCCAUUUCCACUGUGAAAUGUUACGAUGUUAUGUUCUAUGAGAUAACAUGGCCAUCUUGUCUUUUCUGUGGUCCCACCUGCUAACUCAGCUGUGACCUCUCCUGCUUCCCAAUCAGACACACUGAAAAUGUUUUACAGAUGGAUCAGCUUUUUCAGAUCUGGUGAAAUGAAGACAAAAAGAAGGAACCAACUCAAAUUCCACAGAAGAGAGUGACAUUUAAAAGACAUUCCUAACUUGAAGAGACUGGAGUCAUCUUGGAGCAAUGGCUCCUUUGCAGUUAUUUGUUACAGAAACUCCUGGAAUGGGGCUGUCUCAUUUAAAAUAGGUCAGGAUGAAGUUUCAUCUAGUUUUGUCUAGAAUAUAAAAGUCUAUAUGAUAUCAUAUCACCUAGUCCAAUUCAAGAAAUCUUGUGGAAUGUCAUAACUCCAAUAAAGUGAUGCCAUGAAACACUUAAGGUAGCAAUGUUCGAAUAAUGUUCUGACAAUCGUUCUAAGCUGGGUGUUAUUAUCCUUCUCAUGAAAAGGAAAGGGACAAGAAAGUCUUCAUUUUUUUUUUAAUUGAAGUAUAGUUGAUUUACAGUAUUAUUUUGGUUUCAGGUAUGCAACAUAGUGAUUCACAUCAUUUAAAGAUUACAUUUAUAGAUUACACAUCACUUAAAGUUAUUACAAAAUAAUGGCUAUCUUUUCCUGGGCUGUACAAUACAUCCUUGUUCCUUAUUUGAUAACACAGAGUAUUUGCUUUCUCUCUCUGACUUAGUUCACAGAGCAUAAUACUCUCUAGGUCCAUUCAUGUUGUUGCAAAUAGCAGAAUUUCAUUCUUUUCAUGGCUGAGUAAUAUUCCAUCAUACACACACACACACACGCACACACACACACACACACACACGCACACACAUUACAUCUUCUUUAUCCAUUCAUCUGUUGAGGAUGCUUAGGUUGCUUUCAUGUCUUAAAUCUUGUAAAUAAUGCUGCUAUGAACAUUGGGGUGCAUGUACCUUUUCAAAUUAAUGUUUUUCUUUUCUUUGAAUAUUUCUCCAGGGGUGGAAUUGCUGCAUCAUAUUGUAAUUUUAUUUUUAGUUUUUUGAGGAACCUCUGUAUAGUUUUCCAUAGUGGCGGCACCAAUUUACAGUCUUACAAAAGUAGACUAAGCUUCCCUUUUUUCCACAUCCUGGCCAACAUUUGUUAUUUGUAGACAUUUUGAUGACAGCCAUUUUAACAGGUGUGAGAUGAUAUCUCAUUGUGGUUUUGAUUUGCAUUUCUCCAAUGAUUAGCAACAUUAAGCAUUUUUUCAUGUGCCUCUUGGCCAUCUGCAUGUCUUCUUUGGAAAAAAUGCCUGUGGAAAGGUCUUUCUUUAGAGUCUAAUUGUUCCUUAAUUCAUUCAUUCUUUUUUUAUUUUAUUUUUUUUAUUUUUUGUCUUUUGUCCUUUUUAGGGCCGCACCUGCAGCAUAUGGAGGUUCCCAGGCCAGGGGUCAAAUUGGAGCUGUAGCCACUGGCCUACACCACAGCCACAGCAACUACGGAUCCGAGCCACGUCUGCAACCUACACUACAGCUCACAGCAACGCUGAAUCCUUAACCCACAGAGCAAGGCCAGGGAUCGAUCCUGCAACCUCAUGGUUUCUAGUUGAAUACAUUUCCACUGCGCCACGACAGGAACUUCUUCUUCUUCUUCUUUUAUAUAUUUUUUUAAUUUAAUUUUAUUUUUUAAAGUAAGCUUUGACUGUUAGAACUGCCCUCUAAUUCUGCAUUGGUUUACUUCCUAGAAUCACUCUUCAUUCUAGCACCUGAUCCUCCCAGGAAAACUGAGCUGCACCAACACAAAGCCUGGGUUUAUUGCCGCAAGCCAUCUUUCCCUUGGUGCAGACUGUCUGGGACACCCUCGUGUGCAUUUCACAUCAUCCCCCUUUGCAGUUGCCUAGCUCAAGAUCCCAUAUGAAGUGAAAGAAGAAACUAAUUUCCUCCUCAGAUUUCUGUGCUCCUGGGAAACGUUAUCUUGAACCAUUUUUUAAUUAGACAGCCCUAAGCCAGGAGUUUCCGAAAUUCCACAUCUUGAUGCAGCUGACUUUAUUCGGGGCACAUGGAGACGGUCACACGCAGACAUCUGCAAAGAUUGCUGCCAGUUCUCUUGACCUGCUUAAGCCUUGGUGAUUUCCUUCUGUCACCAGAUCCCUCCGAAGUGCACAGCCAGUCCUGCUGCAGGGGAGUUUGGUGUGGAAGCAAAUGUCCAUGAGGGACAAGUUCAAGGCUAUCCAAUCACUAAUUUUUCUGCCAGCUAAGGUGAACCUGAAGCCUAGGCCACAAGAAAAGCCUCUUUUCUUAGUUCUUGACCUUAGUUAUAACAUCCUUCCUCCUCACCACCCCUAAAUUGUCAUCCUUUGUGUCUAGAACGGAACUAAGUAAUGGAUACUCUGUCAUAGGCAUUUCCAUAAGGUUAAGAUGAAGUAACCUGUUUAACAAGUACUUCAUUAGGAAGAAUAAAAAAAGGUAGACUGAGAAAUUCCAGUAAAAGUUUGUUAUAUAAUUUUAAAUGCUUUAGAAUAACGUCACAAUAUCCUGCUUAAAAAAAGAUCGGUCCUUUGUGCAAGAUGUUAUUAGUGAAGUCCUUGAAGCAGGUGGUGGAAAAUGGCUUUUUCAUUACUUCAAAGGCAGUAUUAAAGGACCAUGAAAUUCAAAGCUCCUGGUUUUAUCACAGACGUUUUUAUGUCAGAAUUUAAACAUUUUCCUCCUCGACAUUCUUCUAACAACUGUAGUUUUACAGGAAAGAAUUGUUGUAAUUGGCUCUGAUCAUAGUAUGAUUAUUAAAUGAUAGGCAUCAAUUAAACUGAUAUUUAAAUUGAAGAUAUUUAUAUCAGAUAAGAGGAGAGUAUGAUUAUAAUUAAGUGCAUAAAAAGUAUAAUCUGCUUUGGAGUACGCUUUUAACCAUGUGAUUAUUUGCUGUAAUAUAAACUGCCUAUUUCCUCUUUCUUCUGCCUAUUUUCCCCUUGCUCACUGUCCCUAAGUAUAAAUAAAAUGUUUCAUACUUAUUGUCCUUAACCUUAAUAUGAUUAUGAGGGUGCUUUAUGUAGAUUAGCCUGUUGAGACUGCGUUAUUGAGGAAUAGAAAGAAGUUGGAGAUGAUAACUCAGGAUCACUCUUGUGAAUGCAGAGUUGUCAAUGCACUUGAAUUCCCCAGAGUCAAUCUUUUGGUUCCUGGGAUUUUGACAUGUGUUAUUAUUAUAGCAUUAGCACUGAUAUAAUAAUACAAUUAUAAUGUGCUUGCCAGGGAUUUAGGGACUUAGCCGUUGUGCCAUUUCAUCACUUUUACAGAUAUUAAAAAAAAGUAUUAAAACCUGUUAAAUAGCAACAUUUGUAAAUUUAGAGUAUUUUUUCAACCUACUGGGGAUCAGAGAAGCUCCAAAAAAUCAGAUUCACAGAUUUCAACAUUAAUACUUUCUUGAACAAAUGCACUCUCUAAGACCACAUAGGGAUUGUCUCGUCAUUUUCACACUUCUUUUCACUUUGAAACUCUUGGAAAUAUAGUUGUUCAUUGACAUGUGUCUGUGUGUCUGUUCAUCUACAUCUAAAAUAUGAUCAGAUGCGUUUCUUUUUUUUCUGUUUCUAUAAUAUCGUUCUUACUGGCUGCCUCUCCAUGUGUUGACAAGCAGCCAGACAUGAUCCACGGGGGCUGACCUCACUCCAGCUACAGGGUGAGGCACCAUUAGGCUAAAUUUAUCAAGGGAAUUCCAUCCUUCCUACCACCGCCCAGAGGUGAUGAUAUGAUCUCACUUUAUCCAGUUCAAGUCAAACUUUGGAUUUUUCUUGAACGAUAAAGAGAGAAAUCUUCCCACUACCCCUCCAAUCUCACUGCACAUGACCUGGAGAGAGAGCAUGUGGGCUGAGUUCUAGCCACAGCCACCUUAUCAAGGGAAGCCAGCCUGAGGAUGAAGCCAGUCUCUCAAAGAUGAAGAAGCAAGAAGAACUGUGGAAAAUGAAACGGAACCCCUAACUGAACUGCACCCAAAGGCCCACCUCUUCAUACUCAGUCACAAGAGCCAGUUAAUUCCUUUCAUGAUUUAAACCAGAUUGUAAUGAUGUUCUAUUAUUUAUUUGUACCAAAAGCAGGUACAGAAUUUGGUACUAAAGGUGUUUUGGUCAUCACAAAUCCCAAAAUAAUGAACAAACUUCAUCUAGGUAAGCAGAGCAAUUUUUCAAUGGUUGGAAGUUGGCAGGUCCUAUUAUGUAGUCACAAAAUACCCAUAAAAUGAUUGCCUGUUGAACCUAACAAUAGAUUUCAAGUGCUAUCCAAGAUUGUAGUAUUCAGUAAUUUCGUAUGAAAGAUUUCUGCUUUCACCUAAGUCCUUCAAGAGAGAGACAAGAUUGGCCUAAAACUAACCAAUCUGAAAGAAAAAAGUAAAGAUAAUAUGGCUUUUCUAAGAGAAGCCCUCUCUGCAAGUGACUUCCUAAAUGAGUGAAAGUCUGGAUUUUCUAGAGACAGUUUGAAAAAUCAAAUUCUGUGACCCAAGAUUAGAUCAGUUGGAGCAAAAGCAGGGAGGUAUGGCUAUAACAGGAGGUGAAGCUAUAUCUGGGGAAAACCUUGUCCUUAGUUCUUUCCCACUAACUGGAAUUCCCAAAGAAAGCUCAAGCCAAGGUAAGGCUUUUAUUGAUUGCUAGGGCAAUCUCCAGGCUCUUAUAAUCUCAUAGCUAGCCCCUUAAAGUGGUGUGGACCCAGAAAGAGAAUUCUUCCCAAUGUUCAUCUUUGGCAUAAUC